rnacentral:rRNA from 1 species
GACGAACGCUGGCGGCGUGCCUAACACAUGCAAGUCGAGCGAGUGGAUCUCCUUCGGGAGUGAAGCUAGCGGCGGACGGGUGAGUAACACGUGGGCAACCUGCCUCAUAGAGGGGAAUAGCCUUUCGAAAGGAAGAUUAAUACCGCAUAAGAUUGUAGCUUCGCAUGAAGUAGCAAUUAAAGGAGCAAUCCGCUAUGAGAUGGGCCCGCGGCGCAUUAGCUAGUUGGUGAGGUAACGGCUCACCAAGGCGACGAUGCGUAGCCGACCUGAGAGGGUGAUCGGCCACAUUGGGACUGAGACACGGCCCGGACUCCUACGGGAGGCAGCAGUGGGAAAUAUUGCACAAUGGGGGAAACCCUGAUGCAGCAACGCCGCGUGAGUGAUGACGGCCUUCGGGUUGUAAAGCUCUGUCUUCAGGGACGAUAAUGACGGUGCCUGAGGAGGAAGCCACGGCUAACUACGUGCCAGCAGCCGCCGUAA